AGAGUUUGAUCCUGGCUCAGGAUGAACGCUAGCUACAGGCUUAACACAUGCAAGUCGAGGGGCAGCAUGGUCUUAGCUUGCUAAGGCCGAUGGCGACCGGCGCACGGGUGAGUAACACGUAUCCAACCUGCCGUCUACUCUUGGACAGCCUUCUGAAAGGAAGAUUAAUACAAGAUGGCAUCAUGAGUCCACAUGUUCACAUGAUUAAAGGUAUUCCGGUAGACGAUGGGGAUGCGUUCCAUUAGAUAGUAGGCGGGGUAACGGCCCACCUAGUCUUCGAUGGAUAGGGGUUCUGAGAGGAAGGUCCCCCACAUUGGAACUGAGACACGGUCCAAACUCCUACGGGAGGCAGCAGUGAGGAAUAUUGGUCAAUGGGCGAGAGCCUGAACCAGCCAAGUAGCGUGAAGGAUGACUGCCCUAUGGGUUGUAAACUUCUUUUAUAAAGGAAUAAAGUCGGGUAUGCAUACCCGUUUGCAUGUACUUUAUGAAUAAGGAUCGGCUAACUCCGUGCCAGCAGCCGCGGUAAUACGGAGGAUCCGAGCGUUAUCCGGAUUUAUUGGGUUUAAAAGGAGCGUAGAUGGAUGUUUAAGUCAGUUGUGAAAGUUUGCGGCUCAACCGUAAAAUUGCAGUUGAUACUGGAUGUCUUGAGUGCAGUUGAGGCAGGCGGAAUUCGUGGUGUAGCGGUGAAAUGCUUAGAUAUCACGAAGAACUCCGAUUGCGAAGGCAGCCUGCUAAGCUGCAACUGACAUUGAGGCUCGAAAGUGUGGGUAUCAAACAGGAUUAGAUACCCUGGUAGUCCACACGGUAAACGAUGAAUACUCGCUGUUUGCGAUAUACUGCAAGCGGCCAAGCGAAAGCGUUAAGUAUUCCACCUGGGGAGUACGCCGGCAACGGUGAAACUCAAAGGAAUUGACGGGGGCCCGCACAAGCGGAGGAACAUGUGGUUUAAUUCGAUGAUACGCGAGGAACCUUACCCGGGCUUAAAUUGCAGAUGAAUUACGGUGAAAGCCGUAAGCCGCAAGGCAUCUGUGAAGGUGCUGCAUGGUUGUCGUCAGCUCGUGCCGUGAGGUGUCGGCUUAAGUGCCAUAACGAGCGCAACCCUUGUUGUCAGUUACUAACAGGUUCUGCUGAGGACUCUGACAAGACUGCCAUCGUAAGAUGUGAGGAAGGUGGGGAUGACGUCAAAUCAGCACGGCCCUUACGUCCGGGGCUACACACGUGUUACAAUGGGGGGUACAGAGGGCCGCUACCACGCGAGUGGAUGCCAAUCCCAAAAACCUCUCUCAGUUCGGACUGGAGUCUGCAACCCGACUCCACGAAGCUGGAUUCGCUAGUAAUCGCGCAUCAGCCACGGCGCGGUGAAUACGUUCCCGGGCCUUGUACACACCGCCCGUCAAGCCAUGGGAGCCGGGGGUACCUGAAGUGCGUAACCGCGAGGAGCGCCCUAGGGUAAAACUGGUGACUGGGGCUAAGUCGUAACAAGGUAGCC
rnacentral:rRNA from 1 species